AAGCAUACUGGAAAGUGUGCUUGG
rnacentral:piRNA from 1 species